rnacentral:rRNA from 1 species
GACGAACGCUGGCGGCGUGCCUAAUACAUGCAAGUCGAGCGAAUCUCAGGGAGCUUGCUCCCUGAGAUUAGCGGCGGACGGGUGAGUAACACGUGGGUAACCUGCCUGUAAGACUGGGAUAACUUCGGGAAACCGGAGCUAAUACCGGAUACGUUCUUUUCUCGCAUGAGAAGAGAUGGAAAGAUGGUUCUGCUAUCACUUACAGAUGGACCCGCGGCGCAUUAGCUAGUUGGUGAGGUAACGGCUCACCAAGGCGACGAUGCGUAGCCGACCUGAGAGGGUGCUCGGCCACACUGAGACUGAGAAACGGCCCAGACUCCUACGGGAGGCAGCAGUAGGGGAUCUUCCGCAAUGGACGAAAGUCUGACGGAGCAACGCCGCGUGAGCGAAGAAGGCCUUCGGGUCGUAAAGCUCUGUUGUUAGGGAAGAACAAGUACGAGAGUAACUGCUCGUACCUUGACGGUACCUAACCAGAAAGCCACGGCUAACUACGUGCCAGCCGCCGCGGUAAGAC